GAUGAACGCUGGCGGCGUGCCUAAUACAUGCAAGUCGAGCGAAUGGAUUAAGAGCUUGCUCUUAUGAAGUUAGCGGCGGACGGGUGAGUAACACGUGGGUAACAUCCCCAUAAGACUGGGAUAACUCCGGGAAACAGGGGCUAAUAUCGGAUAACAUUUUGAACCGCAUGGUUCGAAAUUGAAUGGCGGCUUCGGCUGUCACUUAUGGUUGGCCCCGCGUCGCACUAGCUAGUUGGUGAGGUAACGGCUCACCAAGGCAACGAUGCGUAGCCGACGGGGGAGGGUGAUCGGCAACACUGGGACUGAGACACGGCCCAGACUCCUACGGGAGGCAGCAGUAGGGAAUCUUCCGCAAGGGACGAAAGUCUGACGGAGAAACGCCGCGUGAGUGAUGAAGGCUUUCGGGUCGUAAAACUCUGUUGUUAGGGAAGAACAAGUGCUAGUUGAAUAAGCUGGCACCUUGACGGUACCUAACCAGAAAGCCACGGCUAACUACGUGCCAGCCGCCGCGGUAA
rnacentral:rRNA from 1 species